UGAAAUUAUUUUUUGAUUGAAGAUGCUUUUUGUUUGAUUGAAUKAUAAAAACACAAAUUUACCUCCAUAGACCCUCAAGAGAAGAUCUUUGAGUUCAGCUUAAAGAUCCAACUUUAGUUCCUCCUGAUCAGAAAUCAUUCUUUUUCUGUUGCUCCAGACAAGAGCAGUUUAAAAACAAAGGUUUUAUUUGACUGUUUUUCAAAUGAAUGGAUCUAAUUUAGUGUUUUUAAAUAGUUACAUUUAUGCAGAAAUAUAAAAAGCUUUUUAAAAACACUUCCUGCUACGUUCACCUGGACACCAACAUUUAGUGCUGUCCCUGUAGGUGCGCUCUGACCCUCACAGGCUGCAGUUUUAUAAAUGUCCAGGUGACAGGUUGGUUCUGAUCCACCACAGGUUGGUUCUGAUCCACCACAGGUCUGCUGAUCCCCUUCAGUUCUCCACUCAGUGUUUCUGUACACGGAGCUGAAAACAGACAAUCAUCACAGCAGCCUGACCUUUUCUGCAWCGUGUCACCUCUGCUAAAGUACUUUGAGUUUUUACAAGAAAAAAAAACCAACGUAGCACUUACAUAUGGACUGUCAGGAGUGCCAUAAUAAAUAAAAAAGAAUAUAUUUUAAAUUAGAACUGGCAACACUGCCUGAAUGAAAGGAUAAAACAUUGUUUCCUCUGCUGAUGCUUAGAGAAGAAAACAUCAGAUAUUUGGAGGAUUCAAACUGACUUCAUUUUGAAAAGUUAUUUCCACUGAAGUCCAGUUUAACUGUUUCAGAGUUAAUUUAAUCUGAUAAAUCCACUUCCACCCUAACUGCACAGAAAUAUCUUUACUUUGAACUCAAUCUGGUUGAAACUUGUGAAAUUCUAGCUUUGAUAUGAACAUGAUUCAAACACAGCUGAACGUUUAAAAAGACUCGUCCAAACGAAUGGAUCAACGAGUCGACUCGACUCUGCAGAUGAGUUCAGCUCAAACUGAAGUCAUCAGACGGUAGAAAAACGACAUAAAAACAGAAAGUUGUCCAGUAAUUAUUAAAAAACUGCAGAAUUAGAUUUUUAUGGCACUCCAUUGAAUCCAUCCUCACAUCAGGUGCAGAGUUUUACCUGCUCAAACAAACGCUUCAUCUCUGCUCAUUUCUGGUGAAAACGUUUAAAAUAAUAAAUGUUUUAAGCUCCAACGUCGA